AUUGAACGCUGGCGGCAGGCCUAACACAUGCAAGUCGAGCGAGCGGCGGACGGGUGAGUAAUGACUGGGGAUCCAGCCUAUCGAGGGGGAUAACUACUGGAAACGGUGGCUAAUACCGCGUACUAUAGGAUGGACCCAUGUGGGAUUAGUUAGUUGGUGGGGUAAAGGCUUACCUAGCCGACGAUCCGUAGCUGGUCUGAGAGGAUGAGCAGCCACACUGGGACUGAGACACGGCCAAGACUCCUACGGGAGGCAGCGGUGGGGAAUAUUGCGCAAUGGGCGCAAGCCUGACGCAGCCAUGCCGCGUGUAUGAAGAAGGCCUGAGGGUUGUAAAGUUCUUUCAGUGUGGAGGCGUUAACUGCAGAAGAAGCACCGGCUAACUCCGUGCCAGCAGCCGCGGUAAUUC
rnacentral:rRNA from 1 species